UACGAAGGGGGCUAGCGUUGUUCGGAAUUACUGGGCGUAAAGCGCGCGCAGGCGGUCUUCCAAGUCAGUGGUGAAAGCCCGGAGCUCAACUCCGGAACUGCCAUUGAAAACUGUUAGACUUGAGGACGAGAGAGGUGAGUGGAAUUCCCAGUGUAGAGGUGAAAUUCGUAGAUAUUGGGAAGAACACCGGUGGCGAAGGCGGCUCACUGGCUCGUUUCUGACGCUCAGGCGCGACAGCGUGGGGAUCGAAACAGG
rnacentral:rRNA from 1 species